GGCCGCUUGGCCUAAUGGCUAGGGCGUUAGAUUUCGGCGACGCGGUGAUCUACCGUGUAAUAAGAAACCUCUAAAGAUUGUCGGUUCGAAUCCGACAGUGGUCG